rnacentral:rRNA from 1 species
ACUCCUACGGGAGGCAGCAGUGGGGAAUAUUGGACAAUGGGCGCAAGCCUGAUCCAGCCAUGCCGCGUGUGUGAAAGGCAGCUUUUGGUUGUAAAGCACUUUAAGCGAGGAGGAGGCUCCUUUAGUUAAUACCUAAAGUGAGUGGACGUUACUCGCAGAAUAAGCACCGGCUAACUCUGUGCCAGCAGCCGCGGUAAUACAGAGGGUGCGAGCGUUAAUCGGAUUUACUGGGCGUAAAGCGUGCGUAGGCGGCUUUUUAAGUCGGAUGUGAAAUCCCUGAGCUUAACUUAGGAAUUGCAUUCGAUACUGGAAAGCUAGAGUAUGGGAGAGGAUGGUAGAAUUCCAGGUGUAGCGGUGAAAUGCGUAGAGAUCUGGAGGAAUACCGAUGGCGAAGGCAGCCAUCUGGCCUAAUACUGACGCUGAGGUACGAAAGCAU